GUUGCUUCUUGUGCUUGUCCUCAAUCUGGCAACCCGCGUAAACGUCGAGUCUGCGGAGGAGGGGGCGGGGGCGGGGGCGGGAAACAAUGCUCUCCAAAAUUUUGAAUUUGGAAUGCAGCACUCAUUUCAACCGUUGGUUAUCAAUAUUACCGCGGCACCUUUGAUAUUUAGCAUUUAGCGUUAUAGCCUACUUACACUUCACCAUCUGUGGUUGAAACAUAAAAAUACGUUAUUUUACGUCAGUUGUGUUUCUGCGAUAGUUUGCGUAGUUUCCAUAGUUACCAGUAAUCGCCAUAUCAGCGCGGAUCUGUCACCAGACUGUGCGAAAAUUUUCCAAUAAAUCGUAUAAAACAAAAAAGACAUCAUCAGAGCAAGAAUCUGCUAGCGCUGUCUGUCCGGCUUACACACCUGCAGCGCCCCAGGGGAAGAGCGCGGCUCAGACCCCACACCCCUGACGCACUUAACUUCGAGGAAACGAGGAACAAUUAGACGUGAGGAACCUUUCAGAGAUCACAGAGUGUGGAGUUAUUACCCGGCCGUAACAAAACACUGUCGCUGCAGUUCCACCGCUCCAUCUAAACACCAACCAAACCUGUCAUCUCCAGCACCUGGGACAUCAGGCACACCAGGAACGGUCUCUUUCCCAGAGUGCCGCGCAGCAGUGCCCGCCUAGCUUUGGCACCUCAGCUGUCAGCCCGCUCUGCUGAUGAGGAGAAUGUGUGGGGCGAUGAAGUCGAUAAUGAAGAUUUAGAUUUACUCUGAAAUGGUUUCAUGUGGGGUUUCUCGCUCUCUCUGCGGAGCUUUAGAGCUGAAGCCUCUGAAUGGCAGUAUCUGAGUCAGCCAAGACUUCAAAAGGGGGCUUUGUGAAAUCUGUCAAGGAUUUGCCUCUAAUGAGAGUUUGCCCACUUGAUGAGGGACGCCCACUUCCUCUGCACUAAAUGCCAUAUUCAUUACCUGCUUGUCUCUGAUAUUGUGCUCUUUGUCUCUGACUUGCUGUAUUCUGUAUAAUCUGCCACUCCAGAUCAAAGUGAUCUGAUCUUUAUGCUCUCUAAAUGCAUAAUGAUCCUUACAGAUGGAUAGAAACAUAGGAAAGACUAAUUAACUUUAUAAACUAACUAACUUUAAAAUCAAACUAAUAAAACAUAUAUAGACUAUGACAGAAGAUUUAAACUAAACUAAAUAGUGAGAUGAUAUCUUUGCUUGAUAGUCUAGAAACAGGGAAAAGUAAAACAAAGAUUAUUGUAGAUUUACAAAAUAAAUAAAACAACAAAUAAAUAAAUAAUUCCA
ensembl:lncRNA